GUGAAGAACGUAGCGAAAUGCGAUAAGUAAUGUGAAUUGCAGAAUUCAGUGAAUCAUCGAAUCUUUGAACGCACAUUGCGCCCGGCAGUACUCUGCCGGGCAUGCCUGUUCGAGCGUCAUUUCAACCCUCAAGCCCUGCUUGGUGUUGGGGCCCCACGGCUGCCGUGGGCCCUGAAAGGAAGUGGCGGGCUCGCUACAACUCCGAGCGUAGUAAUUCAUUAUCUCGCUUAGGGCGUUGGGCGGCGCUCCAGCCGUUAAAGAACCAUCUUUAACUCAAGGUUGACCUCGGAUCAGGUAGGAAUACCCGCUGAACUUAAGCAUAUCAAUAAGCGGAGGA
rnacentral:misc_RNA from 1 species